UUAAGCGACUAAGCGUACACGGUGGAUGCCCUGGCAGUCAGAGGCGAUGAAGGACGUGCUAAUCUGCGAAAAGCGUCGGUAAGGUGAUAUGAACCGUUAUAGCCGGCGAUGUCCGAAUGGGGAAACCCAGUGCAAUUCGUUGCACUAUCGUUAACUGAAUACAUAGGUUAACGAGGCGAACCGGGGGAACUGAAACAUCUAAGUACCCCGAGGAAAAGAAAUCAACCGAGAUUCCCCCAGUAGCGGCGAGCGAACGGGGAGCAGCCCAGAGUCUGAAUCAGCUUGUGUGUUAGUGGAACGGUCUGGAAAGUCCGACGGUACAGGGUGAUAGUCCCGUACACCAAAAUGCACAGGCUGUGAACUCGAAGAGUAGGGCGGGACACGUGGUAUCCUGUCUGAAUAUGGGGGGACCAUCCUCCAAGGCUAAAUACUCCUGACUGACCGAUAGUGAACCAGUACCGUGAGGGAAAGGCGAAAAGAACCCCGGCGAGGGGAGUGAAAAAGAACCUGAAACCGUGUACGUACAAGCAGUGGGAGCACCUUCGGGUGUGACUGCGUACCUUUUGUAUAAUGGGUCAGCGACUUAUAUUCUGUAGCAAGGUUAACCGUAUAGGGGAGCCGCAGGGAAACCGAGUCUUAACUGGGCGUUAAGUUGCAGGGUAUAGACCCGAAACCCGGUGAUCUAGCCAUGGGCAGGUUGAAGGUUGGGUAACACUAACUGGAGGACCGAACCGACUAAUGUUGAAAAAUUAGCGGAUGACUUGUGGCUGGGGGUGAAAGGCCAAUCAAACCGGGAGAUAGCUGGUUCUCCCCGAAAGCUAUUUAGGUAGCGCCUCGUGAACUCAUCUUCGGGGGUAGAGCACUGUUUCGGCUAGGGGGUCAUCCCGACUUACCAACCCGAUGCAAACUACGAAUACCGAAGAAUGUUAUCACGGGAGACACACGGCGGGUGCUAACGUCCGUCGUGAAGAGGGAAACAACCCAGACCGCCAGCUAAGGUCCCAAAGUCAUGGUUAAGUGGGAAACGAUGUGGGAAGGCACAGACAGCCAGGAUGUUGGCUUAGAAGCAGCCAUCAUUUAAAGAAAGCGUAAUAGCUCACUGGUCGAGUCGGCCUGCGCGGAAGAUGUAACGGGGCUAAACCAUGCACCGAAGCUGCGGCAGCGACACUAUGUGUUGUUGGGUAGGGGAGCGUUCUGUAAGCCUGCGAAGGUGUGCUGUGAGGCAUGCUGGAGGUAUCAGAAGUGCGAAUGCUGACAUAAGUAACGAUAAAGCGGGUGAAAAGCCCGCUCGCCGGAAGACCAAGGGUUCCUGUCCAACGUUAAUCGGGGCAGGGUGAGUCGACCCCUAAGGCGAGGCCGAAAGGCGUAGUCGAUGGGAAACAGGUUAAUAUUCCUGUACUUGGUGUUACUGCGAAGGGGGGACGGAGAAGGCUAUGUUAGCCGGGCGACGGUUGUCCCGGUUUAAGCAUGUAGGCUGGUUGUCCAGGCAAAUCCGGAUAAUCAAGGCUGAGGUGUGAUGACGAGGCACUACGGUGCUGAAGUAACAAAUGCCCUGCUUCCAGGAAAAGCCUCUAAGCAUCAGGUAACAUCAAAUCGUACCCCAAACCGACACAGGUGGUCAGGUAGAGAAUACCAAGGCGCUUGAGAGAACUCGGGUGAAGGAACUAGGCAAAAUGGUGCCGUAACUUCGGGAGAAGGCACGCUGGUGUGUAGGUGAAGCCCCUGCGGGUGGAGCUGAGACCAGUCGAAGAUACCAGCUGGCUGCAACUGUUUAUUAAAAACACAGCACUGUGCAAACACGAAAGUGGACGUAUACGGUGUGACGCCUGCCCGGUGCCGGAAGGUUAAUUGAUGGGGUUAUCCGUAAGGAGAAGCUCUUGAUCGAAGCCCCGGUAAACGGCGGCCGUAACUAUAACGGUCCUAAGGUAGCGAAAUUCCUUGUCGGGUAAGUUCCGACCUGCACGAAUGGCGUAAUGAUGGCCAGGCUGUCUCCACCCGAGACUCAGUGAAAUUGAACUCGCUGUGAAGAUGCAGUGUACCCGCGGCAAGACGGAAAGACCCCGUGAACCUUUACUAUAGCUUGACACUGAACAUUGAGCCUUGAUGUGUAGGAUAGGUGGGAGGCUUUGAAGCGUGGACGCCAGUCUGCGUGGAGCCAACCUUGAAAUACCACCCUUUAAUGUUUGAUGUUCUAACGUUGGCCCCUGACCGGGGUUGCGGACAGUGUCUGGUGGGUAGUUUGACUGGGGCGGUCUCCUCCCAAAGCGUAACGGAGGAGCACGAAGGUUAGCUAAUCCUGGUCGGACAUCAGGAGGUUAGUGCAAUGGCAUAAGCUAGCUUGACUGCGAGCGUGACGGCGCGAGCAGGUGCGAAAGCAGGUCAUAGUGAUCCGGUGGUUCUGAAUGGAAGGGCCAUCGCUCAACGGAUAAAAGGUACUCCGGGGAUAACAGGCUGAUACCGCCCAAGAGUUCAUAUCGACGGCGGUGUUUGGCACCUCGAUGUCGGCUCAUCACAUCCUGGGGCUGAAGUAGGUCCCAAGGGUAUGGCUGUUCGCCAUUUAAAGUGGUACGCGAGCUGGGUUUAGAACGUCGUGAGACAGUUCGGUCCCUAUCUGCCGUGGGCGCUGGAGAAUUGAGGGGGGCUGCUCCUAGUACGAGAGGACCGGAGUGGACGCAUCACUGGUGUUCGGGUUGUCAUGCCAAUGGCACUGCCCGGUAGCUAAAUGCGGAAGAGAUAAGUGCUGAAAGCAUCUAAGCACGAAACUUGCCCCGAGAUGAGUUCUCCCUGAGACUUUAAGUCUCCUGAAGGAACGUUAAAGACGAUGACGUUGAUAGGCCGGGUGUGUAAGCGCAGCGAUGCGUUGAGCUAACCGGUACUAAUGAACCGUGAGGCUUAACCUU
rnacentral:rRNA from 1 species